UACGGAGGGUGCGAGCGUUGUCCGGAAUCACUGGGCGUAAAGGGCGCGUAGGCGGCCUGAUAAGUAGGGGGUGAAAUCCUGCGGCUUAACCGCAGGGCUGCCUUCUAAACUGUCAGGCUAGAGCACAGUAGAGGCAGGUGGAAUUCCCGGUGUAGCGGUGGAAUGCGUAGAGAUCCGGAAGAACACCGGUGGCGAAGGCGGCCUGCUGGGCAGUUGCUGACACUGAGGCGCGACAGCGUGGGGAGCAAACAGG
rnacentral:rRNA from 1 species